rnacentral:rRNA from 1 species
AGCGAACGCUGGCGGCAGGCCUAACACAUGCAAGUCGAACGAACCUUUCGGGGUUAGUGGCGGACGGGUGAGUAACACGUGGGAACGUGCCUUUAGGUUCGGAAUAACUCAGGGAAACUUGUGCUAAUACCGAAUGUGCCCUUCGGGGGAAAGAUUUAUCGCCUUUAGAGCGGCCCGCGUCUGAUUAGCUAGUUGGUUGAGGUAAUGGCUCACCAAGGCGACGAUCAAUAGCUGGUCUGAGAGGAUGAUCAGCCACAUUGGGACUGAGACACGGCCCAAACUCCUACGGGAGGCAGCAGUGGGGAAUCUUGCGCAAUGGGCGAAAGACUGACGCAGCCAUGCCGCGUGAAUGAUGAAGGUCUUAGGAUUGUAAAAUUCUUUCACCGGGGACGAUAAUGACGGUACCCGGAGAAGAAGCCCCGGCUAACUUCGUG